UGAGGAAUAUUGGACAAUGGGUGGAAGCCUGAUCCAGCCAUCCCGCGUGAAGGAUGACGGUUCUAUGGAUUGUAAACUUCUUUUGUACAGGGAUAAACCUGCCCUCGUGAGGGCAGCUGAAGGUACUGUACGAAUAAGCACCGGCUAACUCCGUGCCAGCAGCCGCGGUAAUACGGAGGGUGCGAGCGUUAUCCGGAUUUAUUGGGUUUAAAGGGUCCGUAGGCGGGCCUGUAAGUCAGUGGUGAAAUCUCAUAGCUUAACUAUGAAACUGCCAUUGAUACUGCAGGCCUUGAGUAAAUUUGAAGUCGCUGGAAUAAGUAGUGUAGCGGUGAAAUGCAUAGAUAUUACUUAGAACACCGAUUGCGAAGGCAGGUCACUAAGAUUUAACUGACGCUGAUGGACGAAAGCGUGGGGAGCGAACA
rnacentral:rRNA from 1 species